AGCUUUGGGCAGAGGCUGAGUCUCAAGAAGUGACGUUUUGCGGAGCAGCGAUCAUUGCUAAUUGAAAACUUCCCAAAACCCCGCCUGGACGACUUGGAACACCGUCGGUCGAGCCAAUUUUUGGAAGACCCUAUGGGGA
rnacentral:snRNA from 1 species